rnacentral:rRNA from 1 species
UACAGAGGGUGCAAGCGUUAAUCGGAAUUACUGGGCGUAAAGCGCGCGUAGGUGGUUUGUUAAGUUGGAUGUGAAUCCCCGGGCUCAACCUGGGAACUGCAUCUGUGACUGCAUAGCUAGAGUACGGUAGAGGGGGAUGGAAUUCCGCGUGUAGCAGUGAAAUGCGUAGAUAUGCGGAGGAACACCGAUGGCGAAGGCAAUCCCCUGGACCUGUACUGACGCUCAUGCACGAAAGCCAGGGGAGCGAACGGG